UGGGGAAUAUUGGACAAUGGGCGAAAGCCUGAUCCAGCCAUGCCGCGUGUGUGAAGAAGGUCUUCGGAUUGUAAAGCACUUUAAGUUGGGAGGAAGGGCAGUAAGCGAAUACCUUGCUGUUUUGACGUUACCGACAGAAUAAGCACCGGCUAACUCUGUGCCAGCAGCCGCGGUAAUACAGAGGGUGCAAGCGUUAAUCGGAAUUACUGGGCGUAAAGCGCGCGUAGGUGGUUCGUUAAGUUGAAUGUGAAAGCCCCGGGCUCAACCUGGGAACUGCAUCCAAAACUGGGGAGCUAGAGUAGGGCAGAGGGUGGUGGAAUUUCCUGUGUAGCGGUGAAAUGCGUAGAUAUAGGAAGGAACACCAGUGGCGAAGGCGACCACCUGGGCUCAUACUGACACUGAGGUGCGAAAGCGUGGGGAGCAAACAGG
rnacentral:rRNA from 1 species